rnacentral:rRNA from 1 species
UACGUAGGGUGCAAGCGUUAAUCGGAAUUACUGGGCGUAAAGCGUGCGCAGGCGGUUUUGUAAGACAGAUGUGAAAUGCCCGGGCUCAACCUGGGAACUGCAUUUGUGACUGCAUGGCUAGAGUGUGUCAGAGGGGGGUAGAAUUCCACGUGUAGCAGUGAAAUGCGUAGAUAUGUGGAGGAAUACCGAUGGCGAAGGCAGCCCCCUGGGAUGACACUGACGCUCAUGCACGAAAGCGUGGGGAGCAAACAGG